AUGGGCGCCCAUGCACCGGGCACUUCCUCACCAACAACUGGUUCAGAGGGUUCAUGAGGAGAUGGCCAAGGAUCCGGCUCGUGAGGCCAGCUGCACUUUCCAUGUCGAGGGCAAAGAGCUCCCAGGAGGAAGUGGUGGACAGCUACUUCAAGAAGCUGGAACCUCAACCUACCCUUCAGAAGUACAGCCUGAAGUGAGACCAGACUUAAUAUACAGCGUCGACGAGAGCGGCUUCAAUGCAGAGAAUUCAAGCUCGUCUCAACUUAAAACAGAUCAGAACAAGCCUGAUGAUGCCCACUCAUAUGAACCUGCUACCAGGACCUAUCACACCGUCCCAUGGCCCCGACGACUAGACUGCGGCAGCUCCGGACGUCAGAUCAGGGGCCCGUUUCAUAAAGAGUUACAACAAGUCUCAUUGCCAUUAUUGGCAACUACCGUGAUGACAAGGCUCAAAAGCCAGUUAUUAUAAAGAUUUCCAUGGAAGUUACAAUAAUUGCAAUGAUGAGAUAGUUGCUAGUCUUUAUGAAACGGACCCCGGAUUGUCAGCUCAGUUCACCUGCAAAGCUCGGACAGGUGGCAACAAGACCGAUCGGAACAAGUUGAGGGAUCAGAAGUGGUAAUUUAACAGCAAGGAUGUUGCAGAGAAUGACUUCAGGAUGAUUGGGAAGAAAUAUGAGCAUCAGAGUAUG